GCGAGAGUAGUACUAGGAUGGG
rnacentral:snRNA from 1 species